UACGAAGGGGGCUAGCGUUGCUCGGAAUCACUGGGCGUAAAGCGCGCGUAGGCGGAUCGUUAAGUCGGGGGUGAAAUCCUGGAGCUCAACUCCAGAACUGCCUUUGAUACUGGCGAUCUUGAGUCCGGGAGAGGUGAGUGGAACUCCGAGUGUAGAGGUGAAAUUCGUAGAUAUUAGGAAGAACACCAGUGGCGAAGGCGGCUCACUGGCCCGGUACUGACGCUGAGGCGCGAAAGCGUGGGGAGCAAACAGG
rnacentral:rRNA from 1 species